rnacentral:SRP_RNA from 1 species
AGCCCGGAUCUAUGCAAUUUCAACGCCUGAACCGUGUCAGGGCCGGAAGGCAGCAGCACUAAGGGAUGCUUGGGAUCGGCGUAGUCUCCGGGUUUAU